UCUUAGAACUGGGGGUUCUUUCAGGUACCACCACCUCCAGGGCCACAAGAGGGUGCUUUCCUCCUUUCAGGUUAUGCCUUUUUGAAAUGCAGCUCUUCAGACUUCUUAGAGGAAUUCAGUCAUGCAGCUUGAAGAAUGAUCUUAAGGGUGGUACUUUUACACUCAACCUUCAAUGAUUUCAGAGACUUGGAGAAAGGGGAACAGGACCUAUAUUUGAACCAUGAUGUUAUGCAGUUAUGUACAGCACAGGCACAUGCGUGGCUGGGAAGUGUCUAUGGGUUGAUUCCUUUGUGAAUUAUAUGGAGCUGACGCGGCUGAAACCCACAGUGACCCAGACGAGGACAGAAGCUGGUCCUGAAAGAGUGGCUUCCGCCC